rnacentral:rRNA from 1 species
GCUAACCUAAGCCCACCCGACCAUAAAAACAAAUAUUCUCAAUACUAAGCUAAACCAUUUAACCUAUCUAAGUAUAGGCGAUAGAACAGAUACUCAGGCGCAAUAACGCAAGUACCGCAAGGGAAACAUGAAAGAACAGUCAAAAGCACCAAAAAGCAAAGAUUAGACCUUAUACCUUUUGCAUAAUGAUUUAGCCAGUAAAACCGGACAAAAAGAAUUAUGCCCGCCUUCCCGUAAAUCAGGUGAGCUACUAUAAAACAGUCAGCAGAACUAACUCGUCUAUGUAGCAAAAUAGUGAGAAGAUUUUAUAGUAGAGGUGAAAAGCCUACCGAACUUGAUGAUAGCUGGUUAUCCAAAAUACGAAUCUUAGUUCAACUUUAAAUUUAAUUAAAAUACUGGUAAAUAUAACUUAAAUUUAAAAGCUAAUCAAAAGGGGGACAACUCUUUUGAUCAUGUAAACAAACUCCAUUAGAGGAUAAUGAACACCAAAAAACAUUGUAGGCCCAAAAGCAGCCACCAAUUAAGAAAGCGUUAAAGCUCAAAUCCACAUAACAUCUUAAUCCCAAAAAUUACAUCAAAAUCCCUAACUCAGUCUAUUGGAUGAUUCUAUAACCCUAUAGAAGACAUAAUGCUAAAAUCAGUAACAAGAAACAUUUCUCCUAGCACAAGCCUACAUUAGUAACGGAACCCCCCCUAACAAUUAACAAACCAAUAAUCAUAUAUACAAGACUAGUCCCACUAUUACAUAAAUUGUUAACCCAACACAGGAGUGCUCUCAGGAAAGAUUAAAAAGAAUAAAAGGAACUCGGCAAACAAAAACCCCGCCUGUUUACCAAAAACAUCACCUCUAGCAUAUCAAGUAUUAGAGGCAACGCCUGCCCAGUGAGUUUAACACUUUAACGGCCGCGGUAUCCUGACCGUGCAAAGGUAGCAUAAUCACUUGUCUUUUAAUUAGAGACUUGUAUGAAUGGCAUCACGAGGGUUUAACUGUCUCUUAUUCUCAAUCAGUGAAAUUGACCUUCCCGUGCAGAGGCGGGAAUACUAUUACAAGACGAGAAGACCCUGCGGAGCUUAAGAUUCAUAAUCUAACUUAACCGAUUCUCACCCUAUGUAGGAACAAAACAAAUUAACCUAGAUUAUAAUCUUCGGUUGGGGUGACCUCGGAGUACAAAACAACCUCCGAAUGAUUCAAGCUUAGAUUCACUAAUCUCGGCGUAAUAAUACCAGUAAUUGACCCAUAUUUUGAUCAACGGAACAAGUUACCCCAGGGAUAACAGCGCAAUCCUAUUCAAGAGCCCAUAUCGACAAUUAGGGUUUACGACCUCGAUGUUGGAUCAGGACAUCCAAAUGGUGCAGCCGCUAUUAAUGGUUCGUUUGUUCAACGAUUAAAGUCCUACGUGAUCUGAGUUCAGACCGGAGAAAUCCAGGUCGGUUUCUAUCUGUACAUUCAUUUCUCCCAGUACGAAAGGACAAGAGAAAUAAGGCCUACACCACAUAGCGAGCCUUAGAAAUAAGAUAUGAACUAAUCUUAAUAUCCUAACUCAAUUUAUUUACUCUCUAGAACAGGGCU